GCCGAGGUGAUGGAAUGGCAGACAUGAUAGACUCAAAAUCUAUUGAUCGCAAGAUCAUGAGGGUUCGACUCCCUCCCUCGGCACAA
rnacentral:tRNA from 5 species